AUGAACGCUGGCGGCGUGCUUAAUACAUGCAAGUCGAACGAAGCUCCUUAUCUUCGGACGAGGAGUCUUAGUGGCGAACGGGUGCGUAACGCGUUGGUAACCUGCCCCAAAGAGGGGGAUAACAGUUCGAAAGGACUGCUAAUACCCCAUACGGUCAUCAGGGUUAGAUACUUGAUGAUUAAAGGAGUAAUCCGCUUUGGGAGGGGCCUGCGUCCCAUCAGCUAGUUGGUAGGGUAAUGGCCUACCAAGGCAAUGACGGGUAGGGGACCUGAGAGGGUGGCCCCCCACACUGGCACUGAAAUACGGGCCAGACACCUACGGGUGGCAGCAGUAGGGAAUAUUGGACAAUGGGCGAAAGCCUGAUCCAGCAACGCCGCGUGCACGAUGACGGCCUUCGGGUUGUAAAGUGCUUUUAUAUGUCAAGAAAAUGACGGUAGCAUAUGAAUAAGCACCGGCUAACUCCGU
rnacentral:rRNA from 1 species